UCUUUAAACGGCAUUUAGAAGCUGGUUUAAUGAAGAGGAACAGUUUGUAUGGAUAGACAAAUUCUUUAUUACAAGAGAUGAGACGUUUCACUUGCUUCAUAACGUUGUUAGCAUCUACACCGAAACAUCACAUCUGUUGCACUAAAGAAGUUGUCUAUCCAUAAAAAUUGUUCCACAUGCUUUUCAUACAUUUAUUUUGCCAUUGAAUAUUUUACUAGAGGCUAAGCAAUAGGUUUGUAACUUGGAUUAUAUAUUUAGAAAUAGUAAUGCACUUUCUGAUAUUAUAUUUUUCAUUCCAUUCAAUAUUUUUAGCCAUUCAUACCAUUCCAUACACUUGCAGACAUUUCCACAUUUUUUCAUUGUCUGGGUGAAAUAGCAUGAAGAUUAAACACUUUUAGUUAGUACUAGUUUCCACAGAUGAUUGCACAGUUGAACACUCUAUAUACCUAUGUCAAAUAAUUUUUCUCUAAAUAUAUAUUGGUGUGUAUUGGAGAAUAACAUGAGGUAUGGUUCUGUCCUUGUAGAUGAACAGGAUAAUAUUAUCAAAAUAAAAACACUGACACUUUAUGUAACUUGCUCUUAUAGGUCUAUUCUUGGUAUAAAAUGCCAAAAGACAAGAACGCUGGUGAAAGUAUCUUUUUGUUUUGUUCAAAUUUUGGCUGUCUGUGAAUCUCUGAAGAACUAACAAGUUUUAAAUUUGUAGGACAUAUAAUUCACUGUACAGUCGAGGAAGUUCCAUGUGGCUAUGAAGAUAACAGAAACCAAGCAUGAUGAUAUUAUAACCUCAAAAUGAAUAAAAUAUUGAUAAAUAA